rnacentral:misc_RNA from 1 species
UUGUAUCGGUCUUUUGGUAGAGG